UUGAUACUGAGAUUGGGGCUGUUUGACUUAACUGCUGCAGGAACUAAAUCAAUUAUGUGAUGUUAUUGUGGAGGCACUUCGGGAUCGCAUCGUAACUAGUCUACUUCAGGCAUCACUGGAUGGUUUAUUACGUGUCCUACUAAAUGGAGGUCCAUCACGAGUUUUCUUCCCUAGUGAAGCAAAACAGUUGGAAGAAGAUUUAGAAAUUUUAAAGGAAUUCUUUAUUUCUGGGGGAGAUGGGCUUCCUCGAGGAGUGGUAGAAAAUCAAGUAGCACGUGCUCGGAGUGUAGUAAAGUUGCAUGGCUAUGAGACACGGGAGCUGAUAGAGGAAUGUAGAUCUGGAAGUGGUGCGGAUUUGCAGGGUAGUAGUGCCAGAGGCAGAUUAGGAGCUGAUACCGACACUUUAAUAAGAAUUUUAUGUCACAGGAGUGAUUCAGAGGCCUCUCAAUUUCUGAAGAAACAGUACAAGAUACCCAAGUCUACGGCCUAAAGAAUUCAUGAAUUCUUAAAAUUCAGUUACGGCGUAAAUUAAUGUUACAUGUUCAUUUGUACUUUGUAGUACCCGUUUU